rnacentral:lncRNA from 1 species
UAGAGACGGGGUUUCACCGUGUUAGCCAGGAUUGUCUGGAUCUCCUGACCUCGUAAUCCACCCACCUGGCCUCCCAAAGUGCUAGGAUUACAGGUGUGAGCCACGGCGCCCUGAGGACUGGCAGACCCAUCUGACUUUCUUGGAGUAGAGGAGGAAGAGGAGGAAGAAGAGGUGCAGGAGGAAGACCAGUGUUGAUUGAGCCAGCGGGAAGCAGAAUCUCUGGAGGGCCAUGCAGAGCCUUGGGGACUGACCAAGUUCCCCCACUGAGGGGUCCCAGGCUGGACCGACAGGAGAGCCUGGGAGGAGUUCUGACCCUGGAGAGGAGGUUGGCCCAGCCAGGGAGACAUGUCCUGCUUCAGAGAGGCCUUUCUAAAAACAAAACCCAUCCCUGAGGUUAUACGGGUCCCCAUCCAUCUCCAUCCUGCAAGACAAAGUCAUCCCAAGGCUCUCCCGCACCCAAGAGCUCCAGAGAACAGCCAAACCACACGCACUGCACUCCCAGACACACUCCAGUCUGGUGAGCCCCAUUCCACUACCCCUCCCAGAUGACAGGGGCCAGACUCAGUGGUCCCACCCCUGACUAGAUCUCUGAAGUCCUUGCCUCCAACCAGUGGUGGGCUCCUUCCUGAGGAUUUGAGCACACGGGAACCUGGACAGAGAGGCCUAUUGUCCCUGAACACCCCAAGGCAGACACACACCUGCCCUGGCAGGACAAACGGCGUCCACUUGCUGAGGGUGAAGUCCCC